ACACAAUGGAACAGGAAUACAAAUAUAGUGUAGUAUGUCUAGAAGGAGUAGAGGCAAAACAUAAAUCUUUAGCUCCAGAAAAGUAUGAGUGCAAUACUUUUCUUUAUUUUUUGCCUCUACUCCUUCUAGACAUACUACACUAUAUUUGUAUUCCUGUCCCAUUUUGUA